UAUUAGCUAUAUAUAUAUAUUUGCCUUAACAUAUUUUUUUGUUAAAAAUUUGUUUCAGAUUGCAAGCAGGCUUUAUGUAGUAAAAAAGAAAAAGCUUGCUGUAGAACACUCUGGACUAAUAAAAGAAAAUUGUGAUCUACUUGACAAACCUAACUUUCUAGAAAAAGAGGCAACCAAUGAACAGCUGAAGAUUUGCAAAUCUAAGCUGGACGAUAAAGUUCUUUCCGUUGAAAAACAAUUUGAACAAGAAUUGGAAAAAUGUGAUCGACCUGAAUUGGUGGCAAAGAUUUUACCAGCGUUACAGGCCCUAAAAGAUGGAAGAAAGUCCCUCAACUCACAAAUUGCUGACGCUACAACAACGACCAGACCAUUUCAAAUUAUUCAUGAGGCAAUUAAGGCAGAACUAGAGAAGGUUUUCAAUGAAAAUGUGCAGCUUCACCAAGAACUGUUGCAGCUUUCAGAAGAACCUGGACCAUGGAAAGAAAAAUUACGGAAAGCUGCUGAUGAAGCACAAAUAGGACUUGAAAACACUAAAAUACGCAGAAAACAACUUCUGAGGGAUGCACGAGGCCUCUUUGAGGUGAAAGACCCGUCUUCAUCUCUCAACGUUGUAGAAGACACAACUAAAAAUAAUGACAAGAAAAACUUGGACAGGAAGAAUGACGAAAACAAU